rnacentral:lncRNA from 1 species
CUACAAGUGAAGAAAGGCAUGCAUGGAACACUCAUUUAAAAGGAGGGGACGCUGGUACAAGGGCUGAGACUAGAAGGGGUCGACAGAAUGGCUGAAUGUUUUCCAUCCUACGGACCAUACAUUACAGAGAUGUGAAAAUAAGGGCAUCUUUUUCUCCCAUUAGUGCUGACAGCCUAACAAGAACAGGGCCCCCAGAUGGCUCUUUGCAUCCAUUCCAUUCCUUUCUCCCUUCACUGAGCAGCAAGGAUGCAACAGAGAGCUCCAAGCUUCCUGGAAGGAGGGAAGAAAAGACGGGCAGCAGGAACUCCUGUUAUCUAAGCUGAACCGGUUUCACACAUCAGCACUGAACGCUGGCAUUUCCAGGCAGUCAGGUUCUGCCAAGUGUCCGAUGGUGGCCUCUUCCCCCAAGAGCCGUGUUCUGGGGCCU